rnacentral:rRNA from 1 species
GAUGAACGCUGGCGGCGUGCCUAAUACAUGCAAGUCGAGCGAACAGACGAGGAGCUUGCUCCUUUGACGUUAGCGGCGGACGGGUGAGUAACACGUGGGUAACCUACCUAUAAGACUGGGAUAACUUCGGGAAACCGGAGCUAAUACCGGAUAAUAUUUCGAACCGCAUGGUUCGAUAGUGAAAGAUGGCUUUGCUAUCACUUAUAGAUGGACCUGCGCCGUAUUAGCUAGUUGGUAAGGUAACGGCUUACCAAGGCAACGAUACGUAGCCGACCUGAGAGGGUGAUCGGCCACACUGGAACUGAGACACGGUCCAGACUCCUACGGGAGGCAGCAGUAGGGAAUCUUCCGCAAUGGGCGAAAGCCUGACGGAGCAACGCCGCGUGAGUGAUGAAGGUCUUCGGAUCGUAAAACUCUGUUAUUAGGGAAGAACAAACGUGUAAGUAACUGUGCACGUCUUGACGGUACCUAAUCAGAAAGCCACGGCUAACUACGUGCCAGCAGCCGCGGUAAUACGUAGGUGGCAAGCGUUAUCCGGAAUUAUUGGGCGUAAAGCGCGCGUAGGCGGUUUUUUAAGUCUGAUGUGAAAGCCCACGGCUCAACCGUGGAGGGUCAUUGGAAACUGGAAAACUUGAGUGCAGAAGAGGAAAGUGGAAUUCCAUGUGUAGCGGUGAAAUGCGCAGAGAUAUGGAGGAACACCAGUGGCGAAGGCGACUUUCUGGUCUGUAACUGACGCUGAUGUGCGAAAGCGUGGGGAUCAAACAGGAUUAGAUACCCUGGUAGUCCACGCCGUAAACGAUGAGUGCUAAGUGUUAGGGGGUUUCCGCCCCUUAGUGCUGCAGCUAACGCAUUAAGCACUCCGCCUGGGGAGUACGACCGCAAGGUUGAAACUCAAAGGAAUUGACGGGGACCCGCACAAGCGGUGGAGCAUGUGGCUUAAUUCGAAGCAACGCGAAGAACCUUACCAAAUCUUGACAUCCUUUGACCCUUCUAGAGAUAGAAGUUUCCCCUUCGGGGGACAAAGUGACAGGUGGUGCAUGGUUGUCGUCAGCUCGUGUCGUGAGAUGUUGGGUUAAGUCCCGCAACGAGCGCAACCCUUAAGCUUAGUUGCCAUCAUUAAGUUGGGCACUCUAAGUUGACUGCCGGUGACAAACCGGAGGAAGGUGGGGAUGACGUCAAAUCAUCAUGCCCCUUAUGAUUUGGGCUACACACGUGCUACAAUGGACAAUACAAAGGGCAGCGAAACCGCGAGGUCAAGCAAAUCCCAUAAAGUUGUUCUCAGUUCGGAUUGUAGUCUGCAACUCGACUACAUGAAGCUGGAAUCGCUAGUAAUCGUAGAUCAGCAUGCUACGGUGAAUACGUUCCCGGGUCU